rnacentral:rRNA from 1 species
AGACGGGGGGAGCAAGCGUUGUUCGGAUUUACUGGGCGUAAAGGGCGUCUAGGCGGAUUGCCAAGUCAGAUGUGAAAUCCUGCGGCUCAACCGCAGAACUGCAUUUGAUACUGGUAGUCUUGAGUACGGAAGAGGGAAGCGGAAUUCCAGGUGUAGCGGUGAAAUGCGUAGAUAUCUGGAAGAACACCGGUGGCGAAGGCGGCUUCCUGGUCCUGUACUGACGCUGAAGCGCGAAAGUGUGGGGAGCAAACAGGAUUAGAUACCCUGGUAGUCCACACUGUAAACGAUGGAUGCUAGGUGUCGGGGGUAUCGACCCCUCCGGUGCCGAAGCUAACGCAUUAAGCAUCCCGCCUGGGGAGUACGGUCGCAAGGCUGAA